rnacentral:rRNA from 1 species
AUUGAACGCUGGCGGCAGGCCUAACACAUGCAAGUCGAGCGAGCGGCGGACGGGUGAGUAAUGUAUGGGGACUGCCCGAUAGAGGGGGAUAACUACUGGAAACGGUGGCUAAUACCGCAUACUAUCGGAUAACCCAUAGGGGAGUAGCUAGUAGGUGGGGUAAAGGCUCACCUAGGCGACGAUCGCUAGCUGGUCUGAGAGGAUGAUGGGCAACACGGGGACUGAGAACCGGCCCAUACUCCGACGGAGGCAGCAGUGGGGAAUAUUGCAAAAGGGGCGCAAGCCUGAUGCAGCCAGGCCGCGUGUAUGAAGAAGGCCUUAGGGUUGUAAAGUACUUUCAGCGGGGAGGCGUUACCCGCAGAAGAAGCACCGGCUAACUCCGUGCCAGCAGCCGCGGUAAUAC